UUUCCUGAAUGCACUGUAUUUAUAUACACACACGCUUAAGUAAGCAUAUACAGUACGCACACAUAUACUCUCUCACAUACACGCGCACACACACUUCAAUCUCCCCCUUCACAAUGAAAUGUCUAGAGGGUAGGAGUUAUUUUGGAAUCCAGCAUCUCUCUCACACAUACAAACACACACCCACGCUAGUCACUCUCUUGUAUAACCGCAGACAUUGAGAAGAAGCAGCCAGGCGAGGACUGUGCCCCAGAGCCUGCCCUCAGCUCAAGCAACAGCCAGUCAGUCAUCUUCUAUAGCGAAUCAAGCAGCAGCAGUAGCCAAUCCCUUUCGUCAGCGCCUGUCAGCUCAGAGGACCCGUUGCCCGGAGACACAGAAGCCACGCCUCUACCUGAACAAGAUGAAGUCUCCAGCACAGACACAGCCCAAGGCAUACUAGUAUCCACCCCCACAAAACGGCCCUGCAACUCAGGCUAUGUGUUCUGCAUGCUCCACCGGCUGCCCGAGCAGCACAACUGCCUCUUCGACCACCUGGGGCGCGGGCGUGAAGAAGCCGUCCUCAAGAUGGUCAAGCUGGAUCGCAAGGUGGGCCGCUCAUGCCAGCGCAUCGGUGAGGAGUGCUCCUGAACCCCCCCCCCCAUCCCCAACCCUGAUGAUGAAAGCAAGGAAGAGGAAAGAGACUGCGUCCUAAAUCAUUCAUCUUUAUCCAGAAAUGUACAGACCCCGUCAUGGAUUUCUUAAAAGUAUAGGAUUGGUGUUAAAGCAUUGGCUGCGUUGUUAAAUCGAUGUGAGAAAGUGUGUAAGUGGAGACUUCGGGGAAAAGGUGGCAAAUGGGGACGGAGACAAAUGCUCACUUUAUACUCACUUUUCUCCCCAGUGCCCCUUUUUGUUGUGACAAUGCUCAAAUAACCUCAAACCUCAAAUAAGCAGACAAAGCACUUCUAGUUUUCGCGCCCCGACAAGUGACUGCUAAAGUCACCUAUCUGUCACUUCCCGGUCUGCCAACCUCAUAAUAAAGACCAGAGCCCCCUCAUUUCAUCACUAUUAUCACAGAGUGGGAUGAAGUUAACCCCUAAACACUGAUCUAAGGUCAGUUUUUAGUUCAGGUCAAUCCAGUGAUUAAGGGUAUGAUGCAAGGGAGGUUAAGUUGAUCUUAGAUCUGUACCUAAGGGGGCACCUACCACCCCAAGACAUCUCUUGAAUCCCUCUCCCUCCACUGUUUUGUGAUUUUUGAGCGUAUCACACCCACCACUGCUUCUCAGCCUUAACCCCUCCCAUCUCCAGAUCAGGGACAUCCCUGUUCAGAAAAAACUAUAGCCCUCUGCUGCUUAUUGCUACUGUCCCUAUCAUCAUCACCACCACCUCAGGUUGUGGGAGAAUCCAAUGAGAGGGGUUUACAGGGGGGAGAGGCAGGGGGGGUUGGACUAUUGCAACUCCCUUCCCUUUACCCCCUCCCUUUCUGACCUGCCUGCUGCUGUUGACACAGCAGCCAUUUUCUGUAAAUUGGGAGAGAGAACUUUCUUUCUAGACAACAGGCACCGAUCGUCCCCUAGUUAGGGGGGAUUAAAAAUUGAGCAGUCUGUCUGUCAGCGAUUUAAUCCAUCUCCCCGAGUGAGUUUUAGUCACUAUGGAGACGGAAAACACACCCCUUGAGAUUUCCUUUGGCCAUGAUGUUCAUGCUACUACGGGUGCUGGCCAAGGAUAAACUUCUAAGAUGGACACAAAAGCAAAGACCUGUCACAAGACCUCUAUAUGUGCCUCUAUCGAAAUCUGGUUCACCCUGCACACAUGCGCACAUACAUACACAAACACUCUUUUACAUACAGUUCAGCCCACGUGCGCAGAGCACAAGGACAGUUAAGCAAAAUCAAGUGGUACACAUUGGAGUGUGCUGAAUUUGUGGAGAACCUUUGACAAAGUUAUUCAGUGAGACGCUCAUGGUUGUUCAGGUUUCGCUCGAUAUAACUCAUAAUAUCUUAGCCGUGGACUUCAUUUCCCAUCAGCCCCCGCUGUUUGAAAUGUUUCUGCGACGCCUCUGUCUCUCGAUGCCAUCCCCGACCCCUCAGUGGGAUUCUAACGCCCUCUUUCUUUCACAGAUUCUCGUCUUCCUGCCCUUGCCCGUCGCACACCACUGUCUUUCUCCCUCUCUCCUUUCACUCUCUCCAUUCCGUUUCCAGACAGCAUGUCUUGCUCUCACCCACCUUACUCUCCAUUAAUCCUUCCCUCUUUCAUUCUCAUUUCUCCACAGUAUUGAUUUUCUCACUUGCGCUCUCUCUCUCUCUCACACGCACACACACACACACACACACACACACACACACACACACACACACACACACACACACACACACACACACACACACACACACACACCUCUUUCUUUCUUGCCAAAGAGCGAACACUGAGUGAGAGGUUGGGGCCUGGCCAUAGGUGGGGCUGUGGGGCUGCAAGCUGAGCGCGGAGGAAAAAUUGAAUAGAAAUUGAAUCGUCGUAAAAUAAUAUUGUGUAUCUUAAAGAAAAAUCUUUAUUUAACCCUCUGUUUUUUUCAAUGUUAUUUUACUUACACAUUAGCGUAGUGCUGCAUUUUUUGUUUUACAUUCUAAGAAAAAAUGGAUAAGAGAAUUCUGUAGCCUUCAUUUUCUUUUGUUCCCUUUUGUUGCUGAAAAAUAAAGUAAUAAACUGGA